CACGUGAUCCUCCACGCGAACUGUGCAGAGUCGCUGAUACUGAGACACCAGCAAUCAUUGCCAAGACCCCUGAUGCCUGAGGCAAAGGUGAUGUUCGACUUCCUUCUACUGCUGCAGUUUGUAUGGUGAUGGUCCUUCCACAGUGCUUUUAGCUUCUGGCAACAAAUGGCCACAAAUCGAUCAAAGGUGAAAGUGACGGUGAA